AGCUGGCAGAGUGUCUGCUUCCCAAGCAGAAUGUCGCGGGUUCGAAUCCCGUCUCCCGCU
rnacentral:tRNA from 1 species